CGCAUCUGUGCAUGCAGCAUAUCAAUAAGCGGAGGAAAAGAAACUAACAAGGAUUCCCUCAGUAACGGCGAGUGAAGCGGGAAGAGCUCAAAUUUGAAGUCUUGAAAGGUCACCUUUCACGAAUUGUAGUUUAAAGAAGUGUUUUCUGUUACGAUCGUAAUAUAAGUUCUUUGGAGUAGGACCUCACAGAGGGUGAGAAUCCCGUCUAUGAUUGCGAUUUGUAGCUUUGUGAUACACUUUCAAAGAGUCGGGUUGUUUGGGAAUGCAGCCCAAAACGGGAGGUAAAUUUCUUCUAAGGCUAAAUAUUGGCGAGAGACCGAUAGCGAACAAGUACCGUGAGGGAAAGAUGAAAAGAACUUUGAAAAGAGAGUUAAAUAGUACGUGAAAUUGUCAAAAGGGAAGCGUUUAACACCAGUGUUGUUUUCUGAAAAUCAACCUCUGUUAGCUUUAUGCAUGUUUGUUUAGACCUAAUCAGCUAUCUUGCAUGUUCUAUUGUUUGCAGUGGUGCACUUUUCAGUUUACAGGUCAACAUCAGUUUUUUUUACCGUAAAAAAGUUAAAGAAAGGUAGCUCAUGGCUCCGGUCGUGAGUGUUAUAGUCUUUUUCCUAUGCGGUAGGAGAGACUGAGGUCUGCAGUGUAGGCUAUUUGGCUAGAUACUCAGGUGCUAUGUGAUACCAUUUCAUAAACAACUUGUUGAUUAUGUUUUGUCUAUUGCAUACUCGCUUGUACUAUCAUACCUACGCUUAGGAUGUUGACGAUCAGCUGAGCGCG
rnacentral:rRNA from 1 species